CCUCCCGCCUUCAGUAACAAGGAUUCAUCCUGUUGUUGUAUUCUGAACUAGCAGGGAAUCUCUGUUACUGGGGGUGAGGGU
rnacentral:pre_miRNA from 1 species